GACGAACGCUGCGGCGUGCUUCACCCAUGCAAGUCGCACGGAAAGGCCCUGCUUUUGUGGGGUGCUCGAGUGGCGAACGGGUGAGUAACACGUGAGUAACCUGCCCUUGACUUUGGGAUAACUUCAGGAAACUGGGGCUAAUACCGGAUAGGAGCUCCUGCUGCAUGGUGGGGGUUGGAAAGUUUCGGCGGUUGGGGAUGGACUCGCGGCUUAUCAGCUUGUUGGUGGGGUAGUGGCUUACCAAGGCUUUGACGGGUAGCCGGCCUGAGAGGGUGACCGGCCACAUUGGGACUGAGAUACGGCCCAGACUCCUACGGGAGGCAGCAGUGGGGAAUAUUGCACAAUGGGCGGAAGCCUGAUGCAGCAACGCCGCGUGCGGGAUGACGGCCUUCGGGUUGUAAACCGCUUUCGCCUGUGACGAAGCGUGAGUGACGGUAAUGGGUAAAGAAGCACCGGCUAACUACGUG
rnacentral:rRNA from 1 species